UACGGAGGGGGCUAGCGUUGUUCGGAAUUACUGGGCGUAAAGCGCACGUAGGCGGCUUUGCAAGUUAGAGGUGAAAGCCCGGGGCUCAACUCCGGAAUUGCCUUUAAAACUGCAUCGCUAGAAUUGUGGAGAGGUAAGUGGAAUUCCGAGUGUAGAGGUGAAAUGCGUAGAUAUCGGGAGGAACACCUGUGGCGAAAGCGGCGCACUGGACCACAACUGACGCUGAGGCGCGAAAGCUAGGGGAGCGAACGGG
rnacentral:rRNA from 1 species